rnacentral:rRNA from 1 species
GGAACUGAAACAUCUAAGUACCCCGAGGAAAAGAAAUCAACCGAGAUUCCCCCAGUAGCGGCGAGCGAACGGGGAGGAGCCCAGAGCCUGAAUCAGCAUGUGUGUUAGUGGAAGCGUCUGGAAAGGCGCGCGAUACAGGGUGACAGCCCCGUACACAAAAGCGCAUGUGCUGUGAGCUCGAUGAGUAGGGCGGGACACGUGGUAUCCUGUCUGAAUAUGGGGGGACCAUCCUCCAAGGCUAAAUACUCCUGACUGACCGAUAGUGAACCAGUACCGUGAGGGAAAGGCGAAAAGAACCCCGGCGAGGGGAGUGAAAAAGAACCUGAAACCGUGUACGUACAAGCAGUGGGAGCACAGGUUUACCUGUGUGACUGCGUACCUUUUGUAUAAUGGGUCAGCGACUUAUAUUCUGUAGCAAGGUUAACCGAAUAGGGGAGCCGGAGGGAAACC